rnacentral:rRNA from 1 species
GUAGGUGGCAAGCGUUGUCCGGAAUUAUUGGGCGUAAAGCGCGCGCAGGCGGUCCUUUAAGUCUGAUGUGAAAGCCCACGGCUCAACCGUGGAGGGUCAUUGGAAACUGGGGGACUUGAGUACAGAAGAGGAAAGCGGAAUUCCAAGUGUAGCAGUGAAAUGCGUAGAGAUUUGGAGGAACACCAGUGGCGAAGGCGGCUUUCUGGUCUGUAACUGACGCUGAGGCGCGAAAGCGUGGGGAGCAAACAGGAUUAGAUACCCUGGUAGUCCACGCCGUAAACGAUGAGUGCUAAGUGUUAGGGGGUUUCCCGCCCCCUUAGUGCUGCAGCUAACGCAUUAAGCACUCCGCCUGGGGAGUACGGCCGCAAGGCUG